UUGAAACAUUGGUUCCCAUAUGAUCACCGAAAUUAAGCAGUGUCAAGCCUGGUCAGUACCUAGAUGGGUGACCAUUUUGGAAUAUCAGGGGCU